AGUGAACGCUGGCGGUAGGCCUAACACAUGCAAGUCGAACGGCAGCACAGUAAGAGCUUGCUCUUACGGGUGGCGAGUGGCGGACGGGUGAGGGAUACAUCGGAAUCUACUUUUUCGUGGGGGAUAACGUAGGGAAACUUACGCUAAUACCGCAUACGACCUACGGGUGAAAGCAGGGGAUCUUCGGACCUUGCGCGAUUGAAUGAGCCGAUGUCGGAUUAGCUAGUUGGCGGGGUAAAGGCCCACCAAGGCGACGAUCCGUAGCUGGUGUGAGAGGAUGAACAGGCACACUGGGAAUGAGAAACGGUCCCGACUCCCAAGGGAGGGAGGAGUGGGGAAAAUUGGGCAAUGGGGGGAAACCCGAUCCAGCCCAGCCGGGGGGGGGAAAAAGGGCUUUGGGUUUGAAAGCCCUUUUUGUUGGGAAAAAAAACAAGCAGGUUAAACCCCCGGUUUUUGACGGGUACCAAAAAAAAAAGCACCGGCAAAUUUGGG
rnacentral:rRNA from 1 species